rnacentral:misc_RNA from 1 species
GGAAGGUUUAAUGGAAGAAAGAAUGAGUGGUUGAAUGGAAGAGAUAAUAAAAGAGAAAAUAAGAGAAAAGAAAGAAGAGUUGAAAAAUAAUAUUAGGAAAAAGAGCAAGUUGAUGAGGGUUUUUAAGUUGAUGAGGAUAGACUAUCAAUAAUCAAUGAGAGGCGAUUUAGGUCUAUAGAUGAAGGUGGAAGAAGAAGGAUUGAACAAGGCAUAUGAAAGUCUGGAAGUAGUAUAAGUUUGGUUCCUCAUAAUUCAUGGAAACCUAAUUGGGGAAAAGGAGAAAGAUGAAAAAUUUAUCGCUAAGGUUAAG